GGAAGAGCUCUCCUCUUUGGUAAUUAUACAUUUUAUUUUGGGAGGACUCAUCAUAUUGCUUCUUAUGGUGGCUGUACCAUUUUACACUGCCAUCAACAGGGCGCAAGGGUUUUGAUUUCUCCACAUUGUUUUUUGAAAAAAAAAUAUAUAUGUAUAUGUAUAUAUAUACACACACACACACACACACAAACUUGGCUAUCUGUAUUGAAACAUCUCCUUCAUUGUUGUUUUCCCCUAUCUUUUAUGGCACUGUGAUUUGCAGUCCUGGUGUUUUGGAAUCUUUGGGGAGCAAAGUUUAUAUGGGCAUUUCUCAGUGUAGAGCUGCAUCGUCAUUCUUCAUUUAAUUAUUUUUUUAUCUCUCAUUGCUCUUUAUAAUUCCAAACCCCAACACCCACAUAUACACAAUAAGCACCAUAAAAUUAUACAUUGAUUUCUGGGAGAGGCUCCUGUAGGAGAUAGAGAAUUUCUCUACUAUCGUCUAGGGACACUUUGUGGCCUACUAACCUCAGCCCUGAGUGGAAGAAGUAUAGGCUGUAGGUCUCAGACUCCAUCAAGCUUUCUCCUUCCUCACUCCCCAGGAGAAACGCACCUUCUUCUGCAGGUCAGGUAAGUGAGGGAUAAGUGUCUCUGUUAUGCACUGAACCCUUCAACCACUAGGUCUAGCAGGGCCCCCACAGUUCUUGGGCACUGAAACUGGGCAGUGUUGGACCUUUCAGCCUGGUCUGAAAUUCUAAACCAAGAGAAAAUCUUUCCUUACCAUUUGGCACUAUGAUAGGAAGCCCUAGUCCAGCAAUAUUCUACUGGGGAAUGCCAGUUUGCCCAGGCUUGAAAAAACCGGAAGGAGAGAGCACCAGUCAGCCAGGACACAGUGGUGGACUUGCGGAGCUGAAUUGUGGCAGGCUAACACCUGUUGUUUCCUAGGCUCUUGCUGGGGCAGUAGAAGUGGAGCUGAGUCAAAGGGCAGUGGGUGUAUGAAGGACUCAGCUGCCCAGGCCCCAGCUUUGUGAACACAGAGGCCAGUGUCACUUGCAGCCUCAGGAGCACCCACCCACAGCAAGCUGCCUUUGACUCAUAGGAGCCUGCUAUCUAUGUAUGUGGGCUUUAUUUUCCAAAAUCUGACAUUUAAAAUGCAUUUGGGCAUAACAUGGGGUUAUAAAGCACAUUUUCUCUGUUAGGCCAUUUGGUGGUGAACUUCUUGGCAAUAUUAAUACUUCACAUCAUAGCUUUCUGGUACAAUAGCUGAAUUACUGUAAUAAAGGAAAAGAAAGAAAUUCUCAGUAUGAUCAUUAGUAGUUGCCUAUUUGUAACCAUAUCUACUGCUGGAGUUCUACUUUAUGCUUUAGUUCAAAACACACAAAACAUCAACAAAUAAAUUUUUUUAUAGUCAAUUUGAGUCUAAGAAUACUGUCUGAGUAGUCCAAGCAAGAAGCUAACUACAAAGUGUAUGGUUUUAUGACUUUAGUAUUGAUUUAUAAUUUAAGUAUCAGACAAAAAAAUACAACUAUGAAAUAACCAUAAUACAAAACUACCACUUAUUUAUUCAGUUUUGAAAAACUUUGUUUCUUGGAAAGCCCCAUGGCUUUAGCAUUUGAAAGAUCGGUCAUACCUUCCCCCCACCAAUAAGUUCACACAUGGACGUUCACACAUGGAAAGACAAUGGAAUUAACAUGGAAAAGUUUUCAUUUUAUGGCUAAUGAAUUUGUAACAUGCUAAUUUCAAUUUUUUUCACAAUUUACUUAUUUUUAAAUAAUACAUUUUAUUGUGGUAAAUACACAUAGCAUAACUUUGCCAUCUUAACCAAUUUUAAGUUACACGGUAUUAAGCAUAUUCAUAUUGUUGUGCAGCCACCACGACUGUACCAUUCUUUUCAUCUUGCAAAAAUGAAAUUUCAUACACAUUAAACAAUAUCUUCCUAUAUCCCCUGUGGCUCAGAGGUACAAGGAAAGAUGCUCAGUAUCACCAAUCAACAGGGAAAUGAAAAUUCAAACCAUUGAGAUACCACUUCACAUUCAUUAGGAUGACUAUUAUUUAAAAAAUAAAAACAAAAACAAAACAGCAGGAAAGAACAUUGUUACCUAGGAGUAUUUUACCUAAUUUUAAUUUUGCAAUGACUCUUUCUUUCUCCCUCCCUCCCUUUCUUUAUUUCUUUCUCUUUCUUUUCUUUUUCUUUACAUUCUUGUUUCCAUAAACUAUCUGGGUUUCUAUACCUUACAUAUAAUGAUGCAUAGAGACAACAAUCAAAUAUUGGUUGUCUUUCUAAGUUUGUAAAAGGAAACAAAAAAUGUGUAAAGGGAUCUUCAGCAAAUGUCUCUGUAUACUAUUCGGCAAAAUUUUUAAUAUGGAUCUGUCACAGAAGCUGCUCCAAGAUGGGGUGCACUCCUGCUUGGCUCUGCUUGUUGCAUUGAGUUCACAGUGACAUCUUUUGGUCAUUUCCAAAAUUGCAAUUGGAAAAUUGAAGUUGCUUAACUUGAUCAACAAAAGAUAUUUGAGGUGAGGGUAUUUUCACCUCAAAGAGAAGAGGGCAUCUACUCCUCCCUGCCCCUUAGGUGUAUUUCUAGGUGAUUAGGAACUUCAUGGAGGUUUCAGGACUCCAAGAUGUGGUGCUUUUUCAUACAAUUCCCCUAAUAAAUAGAUCCCAUUGCUGGUCAGAAGGAAAAAUCCUGUCUCACCCAUGAGGUGGAUCCCAUAAAGGAUAUUCAUCCCAGCACCUCAAAUACCCUGACAGUGAUCAGGGCUUGGGUCUCAUUAAGAUUUCUAAAAGAGUGUAAUGAUUUUUGGAUUCAUGUUUCUCAAUUUAAAAGAAUGUCAAAAUCCUCCUGGGAAGUUACUCCUAUUGAUGAUUUAACACUCAAAAUCAAGAAGUUGUAGAUAUCUACCAUGGUCAGCUUACAAACCCAAGGUUCUGGACCAAGCCAGGAUAUUUUGACUGAUUUAGAGACUAAUCUAAUCCCUAGUAACACUACAAGUUACUUGAUGACUUCUUCUGAUAAUCCUUAUUUCAUAUUCUCUGUAAGCAUAAUCAAUCAUAUACGCUCAACGGCUGUAACUUCUUCAGUUAAUAUCCUUAUUUUAUGUGUCCUUAUGCUAAUUUUUAGCUACCAAAAGUAAUUUUUGUUCUUAUGAAUAUUAAUAAUUUUGAACACAUUGCACCCAAAAGGCUACUUUCCCUAUGUUUUAGAUUGCUUACUCAACAUCAUUAUUAUCCUAACUGCUAGAACCCACAAGAGCCCAUAUAUAACUGUACCCAAACUUGGAAAGAUCAUGCUUUAAUUAAGUUGUCCCAAAGUGUCAUAAAAUUAGCAAUGGUUUUAACCAACUGUUGGAUAUGUCACCUGAUUUCAUAAUAGAUCCAUGACCAACGCAUGCCCUUAAUUAUUCCUAUAAGCAAUUUCAAUGCCAUCCCUACUGUCAUAAUCCAUGAAGAUCUUCCCCUUUCAGAUCUUACCUUCUAAAUAAAAGUUGUUCACCAGAUAAAUGUUGCUAUUCUAAUUUAAAACUAUGCACCAGGAUCUCCAUGAUCUAUUCCCAACUUUAUAGAUAGGUGUCUCACCCAGAUUAACAAUAUGAGGCUAUGACAGACACUCCUUCAAAUUAAAUGUCAUUCAGUUGAUUUCUGUGGCCACACCCAUCCUUGCCUUGAUACAGUUUUCAUCCUCCUGGU
rnacentral:lncRNA from 1 species